CAGUAGCCGCGGGAAUACGAAGGGGGCUAGCGUUGCUCGGAAUGACUGGGCGUAAAGGGCGCGUAGGCGGCGAUCAAAGUCAGGCGUGAAAUUCCUGGGCUCAACCUGGGGGCUGCGCUUGAUACUUGGUUGCUUGAGUGGGGAAGAGGGUCGUGGAAUUCCCAGUGUAGAGGUGAAAUUCGUAGAUAUUGGGAAGAACACCGGUGGCGAAGGCGGCGACCUGGUCCUUGACUGACGCUGAGGCGCGAAAGCGUGGGGAGCAAACAGGAUUAGAUACCCGAGUAGUCCCUGUCUCUUAUAC
rnacentral:rRNA from 1 species